GACGAACGCUGGCGGCGUGCUUAACACAUGCAAGUCGAACGGAAAGGCCCUGCUUUUGUGGGGUGCUCGAGUGGCGAACGGGUGAGUAACACGUGAGUAACCUGCCCUUGACUUUGGGAUAACUUCAGGAAACUGGGGCUAAUACCGGAUAGGAGCUCCUGCUGCAUGGUGGGGGUUGGAAAGUUUCGGCGGUUGGGGAUGGACUCGCGGCUUAUCAGCUUGUUGGUGGGGUAGUGGCUUACCAAGGCUUUGACGGGUAGCCGGCCUGAGAGCGUGACCGGCCACAUGGGGACUGAGAUACGGACCAGACUCCUACGGGAGGCAGCAGUGGGGAAUAUUGCACAAUGGGCGGAAGCCUGAUGCAGCAACGCCGCGUGCGGGAUGACGGCCUUCGGGUUGUAAACCGCUUUCGCCUGUGACGAAGCGUGAGUGACGGUAAUGGGUAAAGAAGCACCGGCUAACUACGUG
rnacentral:rRNA from 1 species